rnacentral:rRNA from 1 species
GGACUAACGCUGGCGGCGUGCCUAACACAUGCAAGUCGAACGAUCUUUGAUUAUAGCAAUAUUAUUAAAGAGGAGUGGCGAACGGGUGAGUAACACGUAGAUAAUCUGCCUUUCAGACGGGGACAACUCAGGGAAACUUGUGCUAAUACCCGAUGAGACCACAAGAAGGGAUUUUUGUGGCCAAAGGCGGGCAGCAAUGCUCGUGCUGAAAGAUGAGUCUGCGUCCUAUCGGCUAGUUGGUGGGGUAAAUGCCUACCAAGGCUAAGACGGGUAGCCGGCCUGAGAGGGUGAACGGCCACACUGGGACUGAGACACGGCCCAGACUCCUACGGGAGGCAGCAGUGAGGAAUUUUCCGCAAUGGGCGCAAGCCUGACGGAGCGACGCCGCGUGAGGGAUGAACAGCUUUCGGGUUGUAAACCUCUUUUAUUAAGGAAAAAGAUCUAUAUGCUAAUAUCAUGUAGAUUUGAUGGUACUUAUUGAAUAAGCCCCGGCUAACUACGUGCCAGCAGCGGC